GACGAACGCUGGCGGCGUGCUAAUACAUGCAAGUCGAACGCUUUUUCUUUCACCGGAGCUUGCUCCACCGAAAGAAGAGGAGUGGCGAACGGGUGAGUAACACGUGGGUAACCUGCCCAUCAGAAGGGGAUAACACUUGGAAACAGGUGCUAAUACCGUAUAACAAUAGAAACCGCAUGGUUUCUAUUUGAAAGGCGCUUUUGCGUCACUGAUGGAUGGACCCGCGGUGCAUUAGCUAGUUGGUGAGGUAACGGCUCACCAAGGCAACGAUGCAUAGCCGACCUGAGAGGGUGAUCGGCCACAUUGGGACUGAGACACGGCCCAAACUCCUACGGGAGGCAGCAGUAGGGAAUCUUCGGCAAUGGACGAAAGUCUGACCGAGCAACGCCGCGUGAGUGAAGAAGGUUUUCGGAUCGUAAAACUCUGUUGUUAGAGAAGAACAAGGAUGAGAGUAAAAUGUUCAUCCCUUGACGGUAUCUAACCAGAAAGCCACGGCUAACUACGUGCCAGCAGCCGCGGUAAUACGUAGGUGGCAAGCGUUGUCCGGAUUUAUUGGGCGUAAAGCGAGCGCAGGCGGUUUCUUAAGUCUGAUGUGAAAGCCCCCGGCUCAACCGGGGAGGGUCAUUGGAAACUGGGAAACUUGAGUGCAGAAGAGGAGAGUGGAAUUCCAUGUGUAGCGGUGAAAUGCGUAGAUAUAUGGAGGAACACCAGUGGCGAAGGCGGCUCUCUGGUCUGUAACUGAUGCUGAGGCUCGAAAGCGUGGGGAGCAAACAGGAU
rnacentral:rRNA from 1 species